GAUGAACGCUGGCGGCGUGCCUAAUACAUGCAAGUCGAGCGAACAGAUGAGGAGCUUGCUCCUUUGACGUUAGCGGCGGACGGGUGAGUAACACGUGGAUAACCUACCUAUAAGACUGGAAUAACUUCGGGAAACCGGAGCUAAUACCGGAUAAUAUAUUGAACCGCAUGGUUCUAUAGUGAAAGACGGUUUUGCUGUCACUUAUAGAUGGAUCCGCGCCGCAUUAGCUAGUUGGUAAGGUAACGGCUUACCAAGGCAACGAUGCGUAGCCGACCUGAGAGGGUGAUCGGCCACACUGGAACUGAGACACGGUCCAGACUCCUACGGGAGGCAGCAGUAGGGAAUCUUCCGCAAUGGGCGAAAGCCUGACGGAGCAACGCCGCGUGAGUGAUGAAGGUCUUCGGAUCGUAAAACUCUGUUAUUAGGGAAGAACAAAUGUGUAAGUAACUAUGCACGUCUUGACGGUACCUAAUCAGAAAGCCACGGCUAACUACGUG
rnacentral:rRNA from 1 species